CCUUAUAUCGAGGGCAGAAAGAAAAGAAGAAAAGAAGAAAACUAAUUUUUGGAAAGAAAGGUGCAAGGAGCUCCGACAAGACAAUAUGUUCCUUCAAGAACAAGUGAGAUCGCAGCAGGUGCUGCUCAAUUCAAAAUUUUUUAGGUUUGAUGACCUGCAGCACAGCAGACAGGCUGAAACCUAAGCUGUAGAAACUGCCAUAAAGAAGACAACGAAGGCCAAGACCAACCUCGCCCUCGGAACUGAUUUUCCCGUUGACAAAGAUGAACAAAUGGCCAUGCGAAGUGCGACACCCUUAGCGCAGAGUAAGUUGAAGGAUGUAUGUGUUGCUAUGGGCAUGAGAGCUAAAUUCUGGCAUUUCCAUACCUAAUUACAGCUACUGACAGUCUGCACUCAAAAAGGCCCAUUGAGGGUAAGGUUUCAUUUGUGCUCCAUUUCUUACGUGUAAUAACAAUAUGAACUAUUGACUUACAGCCCUCAUAGAGGAACCAGCUUCAGUGACAACUGGUGAGUUACUGGCAUGCUUAUGUGCAGCAUUUGUUGUAAACAUGAACUUUUACUCUUUCUGUGUGCACAGCAAGUGGAGCUGGUGACGAACCAUCUGUGACAGGUAGCCAUGUUUGCAUGUUUCAAUUGUAGGAAAGUUCCAGCACUGCACCCUUCACAAAUGUUGUAAAUAUCUUUCAGGGGACGACUUCGCAUAUUUGCAUGAUGGCUCUGUAAGUAUAUGUUUUGCAUCUAAUCUGGGAAGUUCUAGCACCCUAUGAUCAAAACAAGCAGGUUAUGUUUGAAAGUGAUGAAUGCAAUU
rnacentral:lncRNA from 1 species